rnacentral:rRNA from 1 species
UACGAAGGGGGCUAGCGUUGCUCGGAAUCACUGGGCGUAAAGGGUGCGUAGGCGGCCAACUAAGUCAGACGUGAAAUCCCUCGGCUCAACCGGGGAACUGCGUCUGAUACUGGAUGGCUUGAAUUCGGGAGAGGGAUGCGGAAUUCCAGGUGUAGCGGUGAAAUGCGUAGAUAUCUGGAGGAACACCGGUGGCGAAGGCGGCAUCCUGGACCGAUACUGACGCUGAGGAGCGAAAGCCAGGGGAGCAAACGGG